GGGGGUGGAUUGCUUCGACAGGAAUAUGAACCGGAAUCCGCAAGUAAAACAAAAAAUAAGUGCCAACUUAUUCAAACAACCAGCUCUAGCUUACGCUAACGCAUAAGCUGGGGCCAUCCGAAUCCUUGAUUCUCGAUAGGGGAAUCCGGGUGUUAUAUCAAUCGAGAUAGGCAAACGCAGUUCCUCGGGCGAUUGCCGAAACUAAGAGGAUAGGAAUAAGAAUUUUUUGUCUGCUUGCCCUGAGUUUAUCGAAGGGCUACAUACCUCUUAUUCCGAACGGCAAAACAGACUAAACUUGUAGACGAUUCUUGGCAAGAUUUCUGGAUCGGGGUUCAAACCCCGCACCUCCACUC
rnacentral:tmRNA from 1 species